rnacentral:lncRNA from 1 species
GGGUGCAAGCAGAUUCUGGGGGUGCGAAAAACAAAAGACAUACUCAGUGUGGCAUGGAUCUAAGGUGCAUGAUAAAAUGCUCAGAUCUGAACCUUCAGAUCUUAUCAAAUGGUUAUGAUUUUUAAAAAGGGGGAACAGAUCUGAACCUUUCAUUUACACAUGCCAGAUCCAACGGAUGCUGUUUUAAAACGAAGAUAGAAGAUGAACUUAAAUCAGCACAAAUAGUAACAAACAAACAAAAACCAAAGAACUACAACAGCAUAACAAACAAAUAAUAGGAAGAAAACUAAGAAGCAGAGAGAAAAAAAUGCAAUAAAUAAUACAUACUGUUUGGAGAGAAGGAGAAGAAGGUAUGGAUGCGUGGAAAUAGAGGUUGCUGUGUGUGUGUGUGUGGUUCUUUCUAUGUUUUGGUGGUUUUGGUCCUUUCUAAUUUGGUGAGGAGAAGAGUUUUUUGAAAUGGGUUUGAUUUGGUGGAGGCACAAGAAGAAAGAAAGAAAUGAGUUGGUUUGUUAGUGACUGUGUGAGGGUUUCGGGGUCACUUUCUACUCUACUCUUGAUGGUUGCAGAAACAUAUGUUAUAUUGGAGCAUU